rnacentral:ncRNA from 1 species
ACAAAUGCGUUGAUGGAUCAGCAGUAGGUAGCUUGUGGAUGCUUUCAGAGAGCCGGUGGAGGGUGCGAACCGGUACCUGCAGGUUAGUGAAUUACGGUCUUGAGCAGUAAAUGGGAACCUGCAGGAAUGUGCCUGCACAAGUAGUAUUUACCGAUUAAACCUCGUUAUCGGUUCUUGAGUGAAAAUAGCACGCCGUGCCUACGACUUCCGUUAUAGAUGUACGUAACUGCUGUUUUAAUUAGGGUGGUACCGCGAGUCAAGUCUUCUCGUCCCUUUG